AACAGCUGAACUGGAAUUAAGCUUGGCAACAAUCACUGAAUACCACCAAUGUCAGACAACUUAGGGUUUCUGCGGCAAGAGCAGAAUCAAAAAUAAUAAAACCAAAUUGCUGGAAAGCACCUACACAGCUUGCACAGGACUCCCAAAGCCAAGAAAAGCUUCCCGGCUUUUGUGCUGGCCUGGCUGGGGCUGAAUUGUUUCUAAUCUUUCCUAAACUUCAUGAAGCUGCUACCAUCCUAGAACAUGGGAUUUGGGGUAACCUGAAUCUGUUUCUGGGCCAUGGAUACCCAUAUUUGGCUCCAGAAUUGACUACUAUCUCCUGACCCCUUGGAGAUGAGGACAUGGACGCUCAGAGAUUGAGAAAUUUACAAGGAUCAGGAAGUCUUAUCUCAGGCUUGUAAGUAACCUUCUUCAUUAGAAAUAAUGAACAGGGCUCUGGAGAAAUGGCUCAGCAGUUAGAGCACUUACUAUUCUUUCAGAGAAUUGGAAUUGGAUUCUUAGCACCCAUGUUGGGUGCCAUGUUGGGUGGCCCCCAGCCCCCGCCCUCAUAACUCCAGUCCAGGAGAUCAGACAUCUGACACCUCUUGUAGUCUCUACA